UCAGUAAAUCACAACUUUCAUGUUUUCCUGGAAUACGAUAAGGAUCUAAGUGUUAGGUGGAAAAAAAGAGAUGUUUGGUGGCUUCUUUAAAAGUGUGGUGAAAAGUGCUGAUGAAGUUCUUUUUCCUGCAGUUAAGGAGGUGGAUGACUUCUUGGAGCAAGAGAACUUUCUUAUUUACUAUUCCCACAGGAUCAAGGAUUCCUGUACUAAAGCAGACAGAAUGACCAGAUCUCAUACAAAUGUUGCUGAUGAUUAUAUUCACACUGCAGCCAGCUUGCAUAGCCUGGCUUUAGGUAAACCCACAAUCAUCAAAAAAUACCUAUUGAAGUUGCUGAACAAUUUGAACACCUUAGGAAAGUAGAGGGUGGAGUCUCAUCAGAUGAAGAUUUAAAGUUGACAGAGCUUCUCCAAUAUUACAUGCUUAUAGAGGCUGUGAAGGGUCUCUUUUACAGAGGCACCAAAGGUUUCAUCGACUAUGAGAACUCAAACAAAGCUCUGGAUAAGGCCCAGUUAAAAAGCAAAGAUGUCAAGUUGAAUGAGGAACACCAGCAGAAUUGCUAUGAGAAAUUAGAACAGCUUUCUGAAUCUGCAAAAGAAGAGCUUAUAAAUUUCAAACAGAAGACAGUGGCAGCAUUUAGAAAGAACCUAAUUGAGGUGUCUGAACUGAAAAUAAAGCAU
rnacentral:lncRNA from 1 species